rnacentral:rRNA from 1 species
UACGGAGGGGGCUAGCGUUGUUCGGAAUUACUGGGCGUAAAGCGCGCGUAGGUGGUGUGCCAAGUUGGGAGUGAAAUCCCGGGGCUUAACCCCGGAAUUGCUUUCAAAACUGGCAUGCUAGAGUCCGGAAGAGGGUGGUGGAAUUCCUAGUGUAGCGGUGAAAUGCGUAGAUAUUAGGAGGAACACCAGUGGCGAAGGCGGCCACCUGGUCCGGUACUGACACUAAAGUGCGAAAGCGUGGGGAGCAAAC